rnacentral:rRNA from 1 species
CAGCGCCACAAGUGGCGAUCGUCUUUAUUGGGCCUAAAGCGUCCGUAGCCGGUCGGGUAAAUCCUUGGGUAAAUCGUACAGCUUAACUGUGCGGCUUCCGGGGAGACUGCUUGACUUGGGACCGGGAGAGGUUGGAGGUACUCCUGGGGUAGGGGUGAAAUCCUGUAAUCCUAGGUGGACCACCGGUGGCGAAGGCGUCCAACCAGAACGGCUCCGACGGUGAGGGACGAAGGCUAGGGGCGCAAACCGGAUUAGAUACCCGAGUAGUCC